AUUGAACGCUGGCGGCAUGCCUUACACAUGCAAGUCGAACGGUAACAGGUCUUCGGAUGCUGACGAGUGGCGAACGGGUGAGUAAUACAUCGGAACGUGCCCGAUCGUGGGGGAUAACGAGGCGAAAGCUUUGCUAAUACCGCAUACGAUCUACGGCUGAAAGCGGGGGAUCUUCGGACCUCGCGCGGACGGAGCGGCCGAUGGCAGAUUAGGUAGUUGGUGGGAUAAAAGCUUACCAAGCCGACGAUCUGUAGCUGGUCUGAGAGGAUGAUCAGCCACACUGGGACUGAGACACGGCCCAGACUCCUACGGGAGGCAGCAGUGGGGAAUUUUGGACAAUGGGCGAAAGCCUGAUCCAGCCAUGCCGCGUGCAGGAUGAAGGCCUUCGGGUUGUAAACUGCUUUUGUACGGAACGAAAAGCCUCUUUCUAAUAAAGAGGGGUCAUGACGGUACCGUAAGAAUAAGCACCGGCUAACUACGUG
rnacentral:rRNA from 1 species